CCUACGGGAGGCAGCAGUGGGGAAUAUUGCACAAUGGGGGAAACCCUGAUGCAGCGACGCCGCGUGAGCGAUGAAGUAUUUCGGUAUGUAAAGCUCUAUCUGCAGGGAAGAAAAUGACGGUACCUGACUAAGAAGCCACGGCUAACUACGUGCCAGCAGCCGCGGUAAUACGUAGGGGUCCAGCGUUAUCCGGAUUUACUGGGUGUAAAGGGAGCGUAGUCGGCGUGCCAAGUCGGAGGGGAAAGUCCGGGGCUCAACCCCGGGACUGCAGUGGAUACUGGCAGUCUGGAGUGCCGGAGGGGCAAGCGGAAUUCGUAGUGUAGCGGUGAAAUGCGUAGAUAUUAGGAAGAACACCGGUUGCGAAGGCAGCUUGCUGGACGGUAACUGACGUUGAGGCUCGAAAGCGUGGGUAGCAAACAGGAUUAGAUACCCCAGUAGUC
rnacentral:rRNA from 1 species